rnacentral:rRNA from 1 species
CCUACGGGAGGCUGCAGUGAGGAAUAUUGGUCAAUGGCCGGAAGGCUGAACCAGCCAUGCCGCGUGAAGGCCAGGGACCUAUGGGCGGUAAACUUCUUUUGGGCGGGAGCAAGAAUGGUCACGUGUGGCCAGACGAGAGUACCGUAAGAAGAAGCAACGGCUAACUCCGAGCCAGCAGCCGCGGUAAGACGGGGGAUGCAAGCGUUAUCCCGAUUUAUUGGGGUUCAAGGGGGCGUAUGCUGUUAGGCAAGUCCGCGGUGAAAUGCCCCCGCUCAACGGGGUGAAGGGCCAUUGAUACUGCCUUGCUGGACUGCGGAUGCCGUGGGUGGAAUGUGUGUUGUAGCGGU